GUGAAGGGAAAAUUCGUGUUUUUUCUAAUCGUUUUGUGCGGCUUUAUUCAAAGGAUGUAGUCUUGUUGUUUGUUUUACUGUGUUGUCAGUGUAUUAUUGCAGUUUUUGUGCUGUGGCUGCAUUGAGUGUGAAACCCCGUGGAAGUAGCUGUUAGUACAAGGAUGGCAGUAUCUCAGAGCUAGUCCAACACCUGCAAACAUUGCUAGAGGCAGCAAAAUACAGCUCUAGAUGUGCUGGACACAGGACUGCUAGAGGACCUCCAUCAUGGCUCCUCAGCUACGGACAUUGUCCUCCUCCACUCCUCCAUG